rnacentral:rRNA from 1 species
GAACUGAAGAGUUUGAUCAUGGCUCAGAUUGAACGCUGGCGGCAGGCCUAACACAUGCAAGUCGAGCGGAUGACGGGAGCUUGCUCCUUG